rnacentral:rRNA from 1 species
GACGAACGCUGGCGGCGUGCUUAACACAUGCAAGUCGAACAGUGGCGAACGGGUGAGUAAUGCUUGGGAAUCUGGCUUAUGGAGGGGGAUAACGACGGGAAACUGUCGCUAAUACCGCGUACCAUAGGAUGAGCCCAAGUGGGAUUAGGUAGUUGGUGGGGUAAUGGCCUACCAAGCCGACGAUCUCUAGCUGGUCUGAGAGGAUGACCAGCCACACCGGGACUGAGACACGGCCCGGACUCCUACGGGAGGCAGCAGUGGGGAAUAUUGCGCAAUGGGGGCAACCUGACGCAGCCAUGCCGCGUGAAUGAAGAAGGCCUUCGGGUUGUAAAGUUCUUUCGGUGACGAGGCGUUAAUCACAGAAGAAGCACCGGCUAACUCCGUGCCAGCAGCCGCGGUAAUUC